AUUCUCCUCGCUUCCGCUAGUGGGGUAGGCGUUUUAUCAUCUCACAUCUCCCAGGGAGAGUAAGGGGGCAGAGAUACCACCUCUCUAACAAGAAGUGUGCAGAAGGUGUUACAGGAGCCAUGAAGUGGCUCCUGCCCAAGGCUGGGGACCAUGGAGGAAGCAGGCCAAAUUUCCUGGAGCUCUUGACGCUUGAGCUGAGGUUCGGAGCAGGAGUGCCCACUGCUAGAUGAGGAAUGCAAGAGAAGAGUAGAGAACAAGCAGGUUUUGAAGAGACUUUGGCCCAACAAACAAGCUGAGCUGCUCCUGUUUAAAAGAGACUGUUUUUCAUGAGUGCUACAUGUCGGGAAACAAAAGAGAGGUACCAAAUGCAAAGAGCAUGUACGCCAU